AGGCAAGACAGGCUGGUACUCUUGAAGAUGAAAUCCAUGCUGAAUCUUAAUUAGAUUGUGAACUAGAUUAUGAAUUUAUGAGGAAUAACUCUCAUGAUUGUCAACCAUAAAGAAUGUUGAGCUACUCCCUAUGGUUAUGUGAUGCCUACCUUACUUAGGAUUUUAUUGUGUUAAGGGCAUAAGAUUCCUAUGAUUUGUGUUUCUAAAUAAUUGUCUUGCUUUGCAAUAUCAAAACUACUACUCUAAAUAAAGGUAUGUUUACCUAAUGUGUGCUAAAGAUUUGGAGAGUGAAUAAAGGGG